CCAUGAGGCGCAGUAAUGCACUGGAAUCCACUGGGGUUGAAGCUGUUCCUAAAUCCAAGUGCCUUUGUCUGAAGCUUUCUUUCCCUUGCCUCUUUGUUGCCACUUCUUGCUUCCAGCAAACAGAAAAUAAUGUGUAUUCUAUUUUAUUUGGAGCGUAAAGUGGCAUCAAACAUGCAAGGCACGUGCUCUACUGCUGAACCGCAUUCCCCGUCUUAGAAGCUCAACAAACUUAGGAAGAUGACAUUUUAAGUGGGUGUAUGAUAUGGUUGGAAAGAACUAUGCAUUUUCAUCACUUCCCACCUUCCUCAACAUCACAAUAAAGCCUUUGCCAAAUGCCAGUGGAAAGGAAGGAGCCACGACGACACUCUCCGGCUGGCCUUGGACAAUGCUGACAGCACACAUCAGCCACUCAGCACUUUUCCAAGUAGCAGCUGAUGCCCGGCCACUCAACUUUAACCCAGGAAAACGAGGUCAACUCAGGAAAGAAAUGCAUGUCAAAGAUUGUGCUGGUGGUCUGCUGGCCAAGAUUGUGGUCUGCCGGGGAUGGUCAUCUUCUGAGAUUUCUUUCAGUUUGGUGUCAGCACUCUCUCUGGGGAUAGAAAUGCGAGUGCUUAUCUGAGAAGGCAUGAACUACAUGUAUAUUCAUCACUGCAAGCAAGGCAAAGAAAUGAGUUUUUAAUCUCAGAGCCCAGGAAAAAUAAUAAUGAACACUUUUGAUCAUUUACAAAGAGUUAGACAUUUUGCUUAGUGUCGUACAUAAAUUGUCUCAUUUGAUCCUUAAAAUAAUCAGAGCUACACCUCAUUUGUCUCCCAAGAUUAGCUUCUUCCUUUAGUAGACAUUGUGAUUAAAACACCACUUAUGUAAAAUUAUAUCCUGUCUCUGACCUAUAGUUUUCAAAAAUUAUACAGCAUUACGAAAUAUUCUGCCCUGGGUUUUAGUGGAGUUCAAAUUUGUCUUGUUUUUCCACAGAUCUCCUUUUAUCCCAUUGUUUAUUAUCAUGAGUUAUGAAGAUAGAAAGUAUCUGUUUCAUUUUCUCCUCCUUGCACCCGCAGAAGGGCUUCAGAACUCACAUGUGGGAGAGGCGAGCUCACUUCCUUUGAUUCCACACAGUCCUUCCUAGGCUGGUGGGCUACCCUACUCCAGAGAUCCGGUGACUGUUCCUAAUAUGACAAAAGGGCCUUGAUAGGUAUAAUUAGAGUAAAGGAUUUGAGAUUAGAUUAUCCUGGAUUAUCAUUGUGGCCUCCUAGUGUCCUUGAGAGGAAUUCAAGGGGGAAGGAGGAAGCAAUGAUAUGGCAGUUCAGAGGUUGCAGUGACGAACUCUGAAGAUAGAGGAUGAGGCCACCAGCUAAUGAAUACAGGUGACCACAAGAAUCUGAAAAAUAAAAUCAAGGAAAUAGAAUCUUCUUCAAACCUUUCAGAAGAAACCAACCCUGUUGAUUGCUUGGCUUCAGCGAAACCAGUUAAAGACUUAGACCUCCACCUCCAGAGCUGCAGAAGAGUAUACUUGUGUGUUAUUAAACCUCCAAACUUACAGAAAUUUAUGACAGUAGCAGGAGGAAACUAACUCAUCCAGAGACAACUUUCUUACACUGGCACUGCGCUAAGGGAUUUAUUCCAAAUGGAGAGUUGGGAUGUAACAGAGGACACGAGGAAAUGGAAACAUAUUCUUUGCUCAUGGAUAGGAAGAAUGAACACUGUCAAAGUGGCAAUACUCCCCAAAGCACUGUACAGAUUCAAUGCGAUACCUAUAAGGAUACCCAUAAAAAACUUCAAAGAAAUGGAGCAAACACUUCUGAAAUUCAUAUGGAACAAUAAACGCCCAUGAAUAGCUAAAGCAAUUCUUGGGAAAAGGACGAUGGGAGGCAUCACCCUCCCCAACCUCAAGCUCUACUAUAAAGCGGUAAUAAUCAAAACAGCAUGGUACUGGUCCAAAGGCAGGUCCGCAGACCAAUGGAACAGGGUGGAAUAUCCCUAGACACAACCCCAAUUGUAUGAACAUCUAAUCUUUGAUAAGGGAGCAAGAAAUGUGAAGUGGAACAAAGAAAGCCUCUUCAACAAAUGAUGCUGGCAUAACUGGACAACCACUUGUAAAAAAAUGCGUUUAGAUCUAGACCUAUCACCAUGCACAAAAUUCAGAUCAAAAUGGAUUAAAGACUUCAACAUCAGACCAGAAUCCAUAAAGUACAUUGAAGACAAGGUUGGCAAAACUCUCCACGAUAUUGAAGCUAUUGGUAUAUUCAAAGAUGACAUGCUACUGACCAACCAAGUGGAAACAGAGAUAAACAAAUGGGACUAUGUUAAACUAAGAAGCUUCUGCACUGCAAAAGAUACAGUGACCAAAGUACAAAGACAAUCUACAGAAUGGGAAAGAAUAUUCACCCAAUACCCAUCAGAUAAGGGGCUGAUAUCAAGGAUAUACAAGGCACUGGUUGGAAUCUACAAGAAGAAAACUCCCAACCCCAUCAAAAAAUGGGGGAUGGAAAUGAACAGAAACUUUCUCAAGGAAGAAAUGCGAAUGGCAAAAAGGCACAUGAAAAAAUGCUGUUCAUCUCUAAUCAUCAGAGAGAUGCAGAUCAAAACAACUAUGAGAUACCACCUCACACCACAGAGAAUGGCACACAUCCAAAAGAACAAAAGCAACCACUGUUGGCGUGAAUGUGGGGAAAAAGGGACCCUCCUACACUGCUGGUGGGAAUGCCGACUGGUUCAGCCCUUUUGGAAAACAGUAUGGUCAUUUCUCAAAAAAUUAGAAAUUGAGCUCCCAUUUGACCCAGCAAUACCACUUCUGGGAAUACAUCCCGGAGAGGCAAAAAAGUACAGUUGAAAUGACAUCUGCACUCGAAUGUUCAUUGCAGCACUGUUUACAAUAGCCAGUAUCUGGAAAAAAACCCGAGUGCCCGAGAAUGGAUGACUGGUUAAAGAAACUUUGGUAUAUCUACACAAUGGAAUACUAUGCUGCUGUUAGAAAAGAUGAAGUCAUGAACUUUGCAUAUAAGUGGAUCUACAUGGAAAGUAUCAUGCUAAGUGAAAUGAGUCAGAAAGAGAGAGACAGACAUUGAAAGAUUGCACUCAUUUGUGGAAUAUAAAAUAAAAUAACAGAAUAGGAGACUAACACCCAAGAAUAGUAGAGAUAAGUACCAGGAGGUUGGCUCCAAGGCUUGGAAGUUGGCCCCACAUGCUGGAGGAUGGAGCAGCUCGCAUAGAGAAGGGAACACCAGGUAAAGUGUGGUUUGAGUACCCGCACGGGAUGAGAGAUGCACUCUGAAAAUAGAAUAUAGACCAAACACGAUGGCCACGUAGUGCCUCUGUUGCAAACCACAACACCCAAAAGGAGCAAGAGAGAACAAGGGGGAAU